CCUACGGGAGGCAGCAGUAGGGAAUCUUUCACAAUGGGCGAAAGCCUGAUGGAGCAACGCCGCGUGCAGGAUGAAGGCCUUCGGGUUGUAAACUGCUUUUAUAAGCGAGAAAUAUGAUGGUAACUUAUGAAUAAGGAUCGGCUAACUACGUGCCAGCAGCCGCGGUCAUACGUAGGAGCCGAGCAUUAUCCGGAGUGACUGGGUGUAAAGAGUUGCGUAGGUGGCAUAAUAAGUAGCUAGUGAAAUCUGGUGGCUCAACCAUUCAGACUAUUAGCUAAACUGUUAAGCUCGAGACCGUUAGGGGUAACUGGAAUGUCUAGUGUAGGAGUGAAAUCCGUAGAGAUUAGAAGGAACACCAAUAGCGUAGGCAGGUUGCUGGGACGGUUCUGACACUAAGGCACGAAAGCGUAGGGAGCAAACGGGAUUAGAUACCCCUGUAGUC
rnacentral:rRNA from 1 species